rnacentral:lncRNA from 1 species
CUCUUAGUGUGCAUUAUGCCAGUACUGAAUGUAUGAGGGGCUUAUCCACCACCAUCAUGAUAAAUUUAACAUUGUUCUUUCGGGUAUUAUGUUUUAUUAUGUAAUGAUUAAAACCUAACUCAUGUAAUCACACUUUCAAAUGCAGUUGCUGAUUCUUUCAUGUCAGUAAGUUUGGAAUAUGAAAUAUACUUAGGAGAGCUGCCUUUAGGCUUUUUUUUUUUUCCUCUUGAAGAUCUUAAACUGCUUGUUCAGAGGAAGGGGUUAGCAAAAAAUCUUGGAAAAUUACUUCAAAAAUAGCCAGAGAGGGAGUUCCUGUUGUGACUUAGCAGGUAAUGAACCCAGCUAGUAUCCAUGAGGUUGCAGGUUUGAUCCCUGGCCCCACUCAUUGGAUUAAGGAUCCAGUAUUGCCAUGAGCUACAGUGGAGGUUGCAGAUACAGCUUGGAUCUAGCAUUGCUGUGUCUGUGGUAUAGGCUAACAUCUGCAGCCCCUAUUCAACCCCUCGCCUAGAAACUUCCAUAUGCUGCAGGUGCAGCCCUAAACAAAAAAUUAAAAAAAAAAAAUGCCGGAGAGAAACUUGCAUGCCUGGACAAUAUUGCAGAAGUGGGAUGGCAAGCUUUGAAGAGAAUACUAAGCUGAGUGGUCCCCUGACUCAGCAGGGGAAUAAAUGGAAACAUUUCUUCCUAAUGAAUAGUUAUGUUUGGAAAGAUUCCCCAGGUAUUGAGUUCCAAUCUUCUCUCUGGUUCUUGAAAUUGAUAAUGCAUUUCUUGUCAAUCUUAGAGAUGAGGCAUAUUAAAUAAAAACUAUAGACACCAGAUUCUAAAAUUAUGCCUGAACUUCUCCCCAGAGCUGAUUUAGGGAUGUAGGGAAGAAACUAGGAUGCUGAGGGAGAGGAGAGGGGACCAUGAGCUCCUAUUAGACCCCUAGCCUGGGAACCUCCAUAUGCUGCGGGUGCGGUCCUAAAAAAAAAAGGAAUCCUCUUGUUUCAACUUGUUAACUUGUUAACUUUUAGUGAAACAAAUUUAUGAAAGAGUUAAAAGUAUAUGUAGUUGAAAACCAAAAUUUCUUUCUGUCACGUGUGUUAAAGUGCUUCUGAGUUUAUAUUUGGUUUGCUUGCUUACAGAUUAUCAUAUUCAGAGUGAGGGAACCUAUGUAUAACUUGAUGGACAGCUAAAAAAGUAAUGGAUGCAUGUUUAUGAAUUUUGUUUAAGUGGCACCAGGCUUUUUUUCUCUCAACACUGUUUUUAUUUUUUUUUAUUGUAGUUGAUUUACAGUGUUCUGUCAGUUUUUGUCACUUCUGUGGAUGAACAUCUUUGUUUCCAAUUUCUGACUACUACGUACGAAUAAUGCUUCUUUAUAAUUCCCGAAAAGAAUAAUAAAUUCUUUUUCAGGAAUCUUGGCUGUGUACAUGCAAGAGUUUCUUAAGGAUUCAGUCCUAGAAGUGAGAAUACUGUAACAUAGAGAGUGGAUAUCUUUAGCUUUACUAGAACAAUUCCAAACUGUUUUCUAAAAAGGUUGUAAUGAUUUCCAUUUCCACAGCAGUGGAUAAGAGUUUCCAUUGCUCCACAUUCUUGCCAGCAAUUGUUAUUGUCAGAUUUCCUAAUAUGUAGCCAUCCUGGUGAUAUCCUGUCAUUGUUCGUUUGCAUUUUUUUCAUUAGUCACGAUUGAGGUUGAGUGAUGUUUCAUAUUCUUGAUAAUCAUUUGGAUUUCCGUUUGUGUAGUAGUUGUGUUAAAGCUUCUGGGUUGUCUCCCUUGUUGUCACUAGUGUGUGGGACUUCAAGCUUCGUAGUUUUGACUUUCACAUUUUUGUUUUUAUCUACCCGGAAUUAAUUUUUGUGUAUGGUUGAGGAACAGAGUCUGUCUUGGGGCCCUUUGUUGUUGGUUCAUUGGUGUAUCUGUCUGUCCCUGGGGCAUACAAACCUCUAGAACUUUCUCAUAAGACUGAAACUUUGUACCCAUUAAAUCACAACUCCCCUUCUCCUUUUACGGUGGCCCUUGACACCCAUCAUUCUUUCUGUUUCUAUGAACUUGACUUCUUGAAGAUACCUACAUUAGUGGAAUUAUGUAUCUUUUUGUGACUGGUUUAUUUUAUAUUACAUAAUGUCCUCAAGUUUCAACCAUGUUGUAGCAUAAGACAGGAUUUCCUUAAGGACGAAUACAGUUCCAUUAUAUGUACAGAUACCACAUUUUGUUUAUCUGUUUAACCAUCAGUGGACAUCUGGGUUGCUCCUACAUUCUGGCUAUUAUGAGUGGUGCUGCUAUAAACAUAGGCGUGCAGAAUCAUUUUUUUUUUCUUUUUUUUAACCAUUAUAUACUGCAACUGCAAAUAAUGGAAGUUAAAGCACUCUAGAAAAGCUAAAUUGGAGUUCCUGUUGUGGCGCAGCGGAAACAAUCCGACUAGAAACCAUGAGGUUUCAGGUUCAAUCCCUGGCCUCACUCAGUGGGUUAAAGAUCUGGCUUUGCCAUGAGCUGUGAUGUAGGUUGCAGAUGCGGCUCAGAUCCUGCAUUGCUGUGGCUCCAAUUCAGCCCCUAGUCUGGGAAUCUCCAUAUGCCUCCUGUGCAACCCUAAAAAGCAACAACAAAAAAAAGAUACUUAGGCUAGAUUGAUCACAUUAAAAGUAAUGAUUUGGGGAGUUCCGGUUGUGGCUCAGUGGAUUGCAAAUCAGACUAGUAUCCAUGGGGAUGUGGGUUCGAUCCCUGACCUUGCUCAGUGGGUUAAAGAUGCGUGCGGCCUUGCCAUGAGCUGGCAGCUGCAGCUCUGAUUCAACCCCUAGCCUGCAACUUCCUUAUGCUGCAG